AGUCCUUGAUUUAAGGGUCAAUCUAAAGCCUUGUCUGGUAAUUCCUCAGACAGGUUUUCACCAAGAAAUGUCAGAUAUUCUGAUUUUAGAUUUUGGUACACUUCAGCUCAGCAGUAAUGAUUGAGGUUUAUGGGAGACUACUAAUUUAUGUAUGGAAGAAAUAAUGAAGCAUAUGAAAGUUUGAUGUGCAGCUUCAAAAUAAAGACUGAAAUAAAGACUGUGCAGCUUCUCUUCAUAAGAUCAGGGGCCCUUCCCCACCACUCCUGGCCCAGCCCCCGAUGAUGCUGCUGCUGGGGAGACUGCUCUGCUCAUCUCUGCAGGCACAGUGUUCACCCUGGCCAUUGCCCUGCCCCGGUGUUGCUCAGGACCUGACCUGUGACCCCACACGACGAAAAGGACAAGGGAGCAGACCACAUGGACU